rnacentral:rRNA from 1 species
GACGUAGGGCGCGAGCGUUGUCCGGAUUUAUUGGGCGUAAAGAGCUCGUAGGCGGCUUGUCGCGUCGUCCGUGAAAACCCACAGCUCAACUGUGGGCUUGCGGUCGAUACGGGCAGGCUAGAGUUCGGUAGGGGAGACUGGAAUUCCUGGUGUAGCGGUGAAAUGCGCAGAUAUCGGGAGGAACACCCGUAGCGAAGGCGGCACUCUGGGCCGUGACUGACGCUGAGGAGCGAAAGCGUGGGGAGCAAACAGG